GAGACUUGCAUGUCUCACAAAAACCUUACUGCUAACGAGAAUCCAUUACAGUAUGACUUGAAUGGACAUACUUCUAAGAGUGCAGAGACAGCAGAGCUGUAGGGGAGACCUGCGGGAUGUUAGGCAGAGGGAAGUGAGCUGCCCACAAGCUUCCAACUAAUAUUUAAACAUGGAGUAGGUAGGGUGGUAUACUGUCUGGGCACAUAGCUUGUAUAGCAUAGAGUAAGGGCAUGGUUACAUCACAUACAUAACAGUGAUCAAAACAAGAGGCAGUUACAUUUAUGCUCCUCUACCAAGUAACAACUUUGUCGAAAGCUUUCAUGUCAAAAGUAAAGGUACCCAUCGUGACCAGGAUUGCUUAACUAUGCCUGAUUCUUAUUCCCCUGAGUUCUUAUUCUUAAGCCCAAAGCUCAUAUUGCUACCCCAAAGAUAAACUUGGAGUAGGGAGUGGGAGGUGGCGACUUUACCUCUUUAACUAUUCCUCUUACCAGUGAGCACCAAUUACAUUUCUCCUUUUUAAUCCUUCUUAAAAACACGUAUGUGUUUCAAUUUCCUGAAAGAUUAACAUAUGUACUUAUCAGGAUAACACUGCAUGAAAAGAUAAUGAAAUUUAAAACCUGAAACUUUCUCGUUAAGUCCAGUAACGGUCCGGUUUCUAAGCUAGAGAUUCAACCACAUGAAAAAGACUGAAAAGUAAAGUAGGAUCGGUCACAAUCAGACUGCUGACAUGAAACCGUUUAGUGUGGAGCUAAAGCAGUGGUUAGAGCCACUGUUGUAAUAGCUGUAGUUGACAGUGUCUUGUUAAAGAUGACCUUGAAGUCAGAAAACUCACAUAUGACACAGCUUUUCUAUAUUUAAAGUUUAGGUGUAAGUUAUAGGGGUACUGAGACUUCAGAUGCCAGUAAGAAGUGUGGGAUUCUUUGAUUCCUCUGAUGGUUGUCUGUGCUGUGAUGUGUAUAAUAUGUAAUUGUGUUGCAGGAUUUUAAAGGCAUUUUCUAAGAUUUGCUGGUUGGCAUAGCCUUGGGUUUUGCUUCUCUUAGUUGCAGGUUGCAGUGAAAUUAUUUAUUUUCAGAUACCUGAGCAAGAUCUCAGGUGGAAGGAAGCAAGGAAAGAAGGGGGAAAGGAAAGAGCACAAAGGACUGUUGGUAAUGCAGAAUUAUCUUUCCAUGGUGAUAGUACUUGGAAAAAAGGAGCUGGUGUUCAGUUACCUCCUGAUUUAGUUGUUGCUGAACUAUUAAAUCUUACUGCAUUGUGUCCUUAUUUGCACAGUUGUGGUUGACAUUGUAGUAAGUGCACCCAGCACCUGGUAAGCAGAAGCAUUCACAGUAGCUAACCCAGAAAGGGUUACUUUAUUCAUGAUACUGUGUCAGCAUAAGCUGGAUGGCUUAUAGACACAAUAGGCAUAAGCCCAAAGUCACAGUUCAGUGUCCCCUGACAACACAUGUUCCCUUCACAUAGUAGGAGGAUGAGAUGGCUUUCUGAGAGCCUUUUUUUCUUGGAAUACUAAUACCAUUUCAAGAGGAUGCCAUUUUUAUGAUCUUACCACUUCUUAGAGGCCCCACCUCCUCUGCUGUGUUGGUAAUUGGAUUUCAACGUGGGGAUCUGGAGAGACAAACCAUCAGACCCAGCAGGAGGCAUUGAGUAGUUCCCAAAGAGCUUAAUGGAAAUGCAUGGAAGGCUCAUCACGUUGCAAAGCUGGCUCUCUACAUUACAUCAAAGGAACUUCAGUGAGAAUUUCCCAUCUCAAGCAUGUUUUGGUCAAGCUGAGCUAGUCUGAGGUAUGGUACCUCAGAAUUACACAAUAGCACCCUCUCCCUCUGGAGUGGCAGGACUCACUGGGAACAAGACUGAAGAUACUAAAGCACAUGGAGAUUGUGCCUCCUGGGAAGAGCUAAAGCAGGGCAAGUAAGGAUGCCCAGGUUUCAAGACAGCCGAGAAAGCUCAUCCGGUUGCAGUGAUCAGACACCAGCAAGGGAUGGGAGACACAAAGAGAUAAACCUGCACAGGUGCCUCAAGCAACAGUUCAUCUUUGCAUCCUACCUUUCUAGGUAGUUGGCUUGAUUUAAAGUGUGUUAUUUAUUGUCCUGCUAUGAAAUGCAGUCUAAUAAAUAUUUUAUUUAUAGUAUUUUUGUGAUGUGGAAGCUAUAAUAAAGUUAUAUUUUCUGCUGAUAAAAUUGUUUCUAGCUUGUAUAAUUUUAUGUCGGAAUUAAAGGUAUGAGUAAUUCGUGGUACUAUGUAAAUGGCAUCAUGAUUUCUAAUUAUUUGAUCACCUAACAAGUUCAAAAACCACUACUGAGGAAAAUACCAUAAAAGUAAGCAAGCUAACAAAAGAAAAAAAAAUAGCAAUUCAAUAACCAGGUUAUACCUUUAGAGUAACCAUAUUAUACCUUUACAGUAGCUUUUGCUUUGUGUAUGUGUUUGGUGGAGUGUUAUAUCUCUAAUGAUGCUCUUUAAGACUGGUGUUUAUAAGUUACUGUAUUCCUUUCUAAUUUCAUGGACAGGAAAAUAUUGUUGAAAAAUCAAACUGAUUUUGAUGGUCAUAUAUUAGUUUAUCUAAAGAACCUGAGGUGGUGGUUGUGUUCGUUGUUCAUGUUGUUUAUUUGUCUUUGUUUUUCAUAAUGUAGAUGGCAGUUGGUAUUAAAAGGCUAUGUAAAUUGGUCCACAACUUCUGUAAGUAACUGGAAGUACUUUCCGUUUACAUCCCAUUUGUGAACAAAACGUAUUUAAGAAAAAGUGAAAAAAUAAGCAAACCUACCAGAUUUCUUGGAGUUAAUCAUUUUGCAGACUUGGGCAUUUUUUUCUGUAUUUUUAGGAAAAGAAUUAUCUUCCUGAUAAAAGUGAAUUUUAAAUAUUAAUUAAACUUAUUUGAAUCUAUGAUCUUGGUAGUUCUUGAAAGCAUUAACAUUAUGAGGUAAGAAUCCUUUCCCCUUGAAAAUAAAUACAAAUAAAUACUUCUGCUUAUAUACUUUA
rnacentral:lncRNA from 1 species